rnacentral:tRNA from 1 species
GGAAAACUACUGAAAAAGACCGGUUUUCAUGCUUCACACGCAUGAGGUCACUGGUUCGAAUCCAGUACGUCCCA